UACCACUCUUCUGUCUUGGAACCAACACAAGUAUUGGUUCCAAGACAGAAGGUAAUGGUUUAAAAUGAAAAACAAAAAACAAAAAACCCAACACUUUCAAAUAAGAUUUUCUUUAACUGUUGCUUCUUUU